UGAUAAUUAGUUUAACCCAAAAACAGAUGAUUUCGACUCAUUAGAUUAUGAUUUUUCUCAUAAUUAUCAA
rnacentral:tRNA from 1 species